rnacentral:rRNA from 1 species
CAGGCUUAACACAUGCAAGUCGAGGGGCAGCAUGGUCUUAGCUUGCUAAGGCCGAUGGCGACCGGCGCACGGGUGAGUAACACGUAUCCAACCUGCCGUCUACUCUUGGACAGCCUUCUGAAAGGAAGAUUAAUACAAGAUGGCAUCAUGAGUCCGCAUGUUCACAUGAUUAAAGGUAUUCCGGUAGACGAUGGGGAUGCGUUCCAUUAGAUAGUAGGCGGGGUAACGGCCCACCUAGUCUUCGAUGGAUAGGGGUUCUGAGAGGAAGGUCCCCCACAUUGGAACUGAGACACGGUCCAAACUCCUACGGGAGGCAGCAGUGAGGAAUAUUGGUCAAUGGGCGAGAGCCUGAACCAGCCAAGUAGCGUGAAGGAUGACUGCCCUAUGGGUUGUAAACUUCUUUUAUAAAGGAAUAAAGUCGGGUAUGGAUACCCGUUUGCAUGUACUUUAUGAAUAAGGAUCGGCUAACUCCGUGCCAGCAGCCGCGGUAAUACGGAGGAUCCGAGCGUUAUCCGGAUUUAUUGGGUUUAAAGGGAGCGUAGAUGGAUGUUUAAGUCAGUUGUGAAAGUUUGCGGCUCAACCGUAAAAUUGCAGUUGAUACUGGAUAUCUUGAGUGCAGUUGAGGCAGGCGGAAUUCGUGGUGUAGCGGUGAAAUGCUUAGAUAUCACGAAGAACUCCGAUUGCGAAGGCAGCCUGCUAAGCUGCAACUGACAUUGAGGCUCGAAAGUGUGGGUAUCAAACAGGAUUAGAUACCCUGGUAGUCCACACGGUAAACGAUGAAUACUCGCUGUUUGCGAUAUACUGCAAGCGGCCAAGCGAAAGCGUUAAGUAUUCCACCUGGGGAGUACGCCGGCAACGGUGAAACUCAAAGGAAUUGACGGGGGCCCGCACAAGCGGAGGAACAUGUGGUUUAAUUCGAUGAUACGCGAGGAACCUUACCCGGGCUUAAAUUGCAGAUGAAUUACGGUGAAAGCCGUAAGCCGCAAGGCAUCUGUGAAGGUGCUGCAUGGUUGUCGUCAGCUCGUGCCGUGAGGUGUCGGCUUAAGUGCCAUAACGAGCGCAACCCUUGUUGCCAGUUACUAACAGGUUCCGCUGAGGACUCUGACAAGACUGCCAUCGUAAGAUGUGAGGAAGGUGGGGAUGACGUCAAAUCAGCACGGCCCUUACGUCCGGGGCUACACACGUGUUACAAUGGGGGGUACAGAGGGCCGCUACCACGCGAGUGGAUGCCAAUCCCCAAAACCUCUCUCAGUUCGGACUGGAGUCUGCAACCCGACUCCACGAAGCUGGAUUCGCUAGUAAUCGCGCAUCAGCCACGGCGCGGUGAAUACGUUCCCGGGCCUUGUACACACCGCCCGUCAAGCCAUGGGAGCCGGGGGUACCUGAAGUGCGUAACCGCGAGGAGCGCCCUAGGGUAAAACUGGUGACUGGGGCUA